rnacentral:rRNA from 1 species
CAGUCGCCGCGGGAAUACGUAGGGUGCAAGCGUUAAUCGGAAUUACUGGGCGUAAAGCGUGCGCAGGCGGUUUUGUAAGACAGAGGUGAAAUCCCCGGGCUCAACCUGGGAACUGCCUUUGUGACUGCAAGGCUAGAGUACGGCAGAGGGGGAUGGAAUUCCGCGUGUAGCAGUGAAAUGCGUAGAUAUGCGGAGGAACACCGAUGGCGAAGGCAAUCCCCUGGGCCUGUACUGACGCUCAUGCACGAAAGCGUGGGGAGCAAACAGGAUUAGAUACCCGCGUAGUCCCUGUCUCUUAUAC